rnacentral:rRNA from 1 species
UACAGAGGCCUCGAGCGUUAGGCGGAAUCACUGGGCUUAAAGCGUGUGUAGGCGGACCUCUAAGUACCUUGUGAAAUCCCACGGCUUACCCGUGGAAUGGCUGGGUAUACUGGUCGUCUUGAGCCUUCUAGGGGCUACCGGAACAAAUGGUGGAGCGGUGAAAUGCGUAGAUAUCAGGAGGAACACCGGUGGCGAAGGCGGAUCUCUGGGCCUUACCUGACGCUGAGGCGCGAAAGCUAGGGGGAGCGAACAGG